rnacentral:rRNA from 1 species
GGCGUAGGCGGGAUGGCAAGUCGGUCGUGAAAUCCCUCGGCUCAACUGAGGAUCGUCGAUCGAUACUGCUGUUCUUGAGGAUUGCAGAGGAGACUGGAAUUCCCGGUGUAGCGGUGAAAUGUGUAGAGAUCGGGAGGAACACCGGUGGCGAAGGCGGGUCUCCGGGCAAUUCCUGACGCUGAGGCGCGAAAGCGUGGGAGCAAACG